GGAUGUUGACGUAAUGUUGUCUGCUGGUUAGCAUCAAUUUUGAUUGUCAUAAAAAGGUUAAGGGGAUGUGGCUCCUUCGGGAGUGUUAUAACCCUUGGCGGAAUGUGGCGAUUGGGAUUGAGGUUUGCAACGAAUACCUUUAGGGCAGUUCCUUCUGGUCUCUUGUUGACGUUCAGAUGAUAACAGCUUGCUUUUGUUGUUUGAAUAGUUUGCGAAUAGAUUGGAAUGUGAAUUAAUUCGUUAAGGAUGUUGACGUAA
rnacentral:rRNA from 1 species